ensembl:lncRNA
UAUAUAUAUAUAUAUAUAUAUAUAUAUAUAUAUAUAUAUAUAAAUAUGUGUGUGUACAUACAUACAUACAUGUACAUACGCAUACGUGUGUGUAUUAAGUAUGCACUAAUAUUACUAGAAUCUGGUCUACUUAGGGUCAAAUUUGUUCACUUAAUUUAGUUGCAUGUUCUUGGCACUAGAGCUGUUUGGUUGCACCUACAUUACACCUACCUGAAGCACAUGUUUUCAGUGCUAAAAAGGAGUUAAUGCUUUCCAGGAGUGGCAAUGAGCAAACAAACAAAAAGUUGAGUAAAACACAGAAGUACAGAAAACACAGCUGCAUGUGCCAGACGUUAAAAUGGUAAAUAAAUAAAUAAACGUUCAGGAUGCAGUUGGCCUGCCUGUUUACCCUCAAGCAAACAGUAAUUUGCAUAAACGUAUGCUUGCUGACACACCUUGGAGCCACAAGUAAGCCUGCAAACCACAGAAACACGUCAUGUAAUUUAGAUUUUCAUAUCACCCCUUCAUUUUUGUAUGUAUAUACAUGACUUGUAGACAAUAUCAGUAUUUACAUUUUUUAAAAUUUAUAUUUCUCAAAUUUGUCAUACCAAGUGAACGAAACUGCUGUGUUCUUGCAAGUGCAUAAGGUGUACACAUGGGGGUGCAAAAACUUGGAACCAGUGAUGUUGCUUUGGCUUACACACCCAGUUUUACACCUAUAUGGACAAGCAGGUAAACAUAUAUACUUGCUUACAGUUCAUUCAAAUACUCUUUCAUGCACUGAAUUCUUAUACCACUUCAGCUUGUGAAUGUUUGUAAGCCUUGCUUGACCUUUAGGUUUGUUCAGAGAUGCAAGAUUUCUACAUGUUAAAGUUGAUCUUGUGAUGGGGUUCAGAAUUUCUAUAAUUCUUAUUCAGUGCGAUUUCACAGAGGCUUAACAAUGCACCAAUUUUAAUCACAACACUAAGUCUAUUGGAAUGAGCAGUGUUUAACAUUAAAGCAAUUCAGUAAGUUUAGUGUUAGGAAGUCUUAAUCCUGCACCUUUAAUCACAAAAGGUCACUGUUCUGUGUUGAUGUAGUUCUCAGGAGGUGAUGUGUUGUGCAAACCAGUGUGCAGGGAGAGGCUGGAUUUCAUCAGCCAUAGCAAACUCUUUGAAAGGUAGAGCUCCACCUUCACUAUAAGUCAUUUUUACCGCUAUUAUUAAGGCAGCAAGCUUUUAUGACACACUGAGACCAUGAUUCUAUUUGAACAGUAGAAGCAGAGAUCAUUAUUGAGGUUUCCUGCAGUUUAAACCCCACACGUUAAGUUUUGAUUAAUUCAGUCUACCCUGUGUUGGAGUCCAUGAGCCUGAAUCUAUAACGAGACACUAUUUACAGGCAAUAAGAUGUUUGUUGGAUUAUAUUAGUUUCUCAUUUGAUUAUUUGGAGUCUUUCAUUAUGCAAUAGUGCAGGUCAAAUAAUUGCAUACAAUGCAACUAUGUGCAGCCCCUGUAAUAUCUGGGCACAACAAGGAAAAUGUACCUGUAUUAUUAAUUUAUCCAGAAAUGAAAUGAAUAAUGAAACAUGGUAAUAUCCUGGAACAAUAGCCAAUCCAAAAUGCAACACAAAAUUAGCUGGAUUUCCCCUCUUCAUUUUGUCUAAUUAUAUGCAGACUGUUGCACUACAUUAUAUAGCUAGGCAUCUCAACAGCUAUGUUGAUUCAUUUUAACAUUUAAAUUCAGCAAACAUUGUAGCCAAACUUUUCUUCACAAAUAUAUGCAUUCUCUGGACAGCUCAGCUGAAAGCUAAAUCAACACUGCACACCUUUUUUGAGGUGACUGCAUUUUGGAAGAAUCUAGCUAGCAAGAGAAACUAUCUUAGCCUGCUAUUUUCCUCCAAACCUUAAUGCAGUGAUACUGAAUAGUAUGUAUACACAAGUACUAUACAUAACCAUACAUUAUAGAUGGUGUGGUGUACUAUUUGCACAUUUAGUAGUUACACUAUGAAUUUGAUUCUUAGCCAUAGUGGGAAAAAAAAGAUCUGUUACAAACUUUAUUAACAGCAUUUAUUAGGGAGUUUCCUGAUAGCUGAGGUGCCCGGAGCAGCUGCUUAUGUCACUUAUUAGAUUAGAGUUAUACACUCUUACAUGCAAAGAGCUGGUGUGGCUGCUGAGACACAUCUAAUGGUUGAUUGAAGCCCAAGAUUAACUGAUUAUACAGGUGGAGUCAGGUGUGGCUCCUUAUUGGUUGCAACAAAAACCUGCAGCCACCCUUUGUGGUUAAUUUUGGAUAACACUGUAUUAGGUAGAGCUGGCUCUGAAGAAGUACUAAAAGAUAUAGCCAACAGAUUAGGGCAGAGGUGGCUGCAGGGUUCCCCCAUGCAGGAGCCACACCCAAUUCUACUCGGUUAAUCAGCUAAUCUCUGUCUUUAGACCAGUUGGUAAGAUAUAUUUUGUAUGUGCAUGCUUCGUUGGAUUAAAAACCUACAGACAACACCAGACGCCUCUAGGUUAGUGUUAUAACUAUCAUUUACCAUAAGGUUUACAAAUGCCCUUCCUUGUGUGACUUUUGCCAGAUUUCUAACAAAACUUGAAAUAAAACUAAACAUUUGGAAGAACCUUCCUUCAUCCUAUAUCUUAUCAUAUUCUUAGCUUUUGUUCUGGUUAGUAAAAAUCAGUAGUGUGUGGAUUGUUUUUAUUUUAGAAGUCAAGGGCAAGUCUCAUUCAGUUCUUUGACUCUGGGGUUACAGAGCUUUAGGGGAGGGUGGAAACCUGUUCACAGCUAGAGGAAAAAAAAGAAAAAGGGAAGUGAGUGACGGAACAUUUGCCAAAAAAACUCCCUUGCUUUUGGAAAGCUUGUCAUGGACUCCUGUCUGCUUCCUUGUAUUUGUUCACUAACUUCAGGGGUUAAAUGGCUUAUAAAAAAUCUUCAUGGCUUGUUUCCUGCAUUUCUCACCUUUUAUUCUCAUAUCUGCCAAACAUGCACACGUACACACAAGCCCAACCAGCUCCCUUCUGCCUUCUUGGCUGCAUGAGGUUCUCCCCGCCCAUCUCUUUCCCCAACACAUACCUUCUGUCUGAGAUCUACUGGUCUGCAACAGGCUGCUAAGAAGUAUUACACUGAUGGACAUUUGGAAAAACUACAUUGAAUCACAAGACCUUGAUCAGAGGAACCCUGGGGUAAUAAACUUACAAAACACUGUGGCCAUAGCAACAGCCAAGGUUAAUAUAUGCUUCUGUUAUGGAGAGCCUGGCCAGAGGUUUGGCAUCCUACUUCAAUUAAAAAAUGUAUACAUAUAAUAUAAAGCUUAUCUUGGUAUGUGUAUGAUAAAGCAAGCAAAAUAUGGGAGGGAGUAACUGCUCAUUUUCACAGAGUAUAGUGGUAAAGGAAAACCAUAUCUGUAUGUAUACAUUACACUGCUACAUGUCUAAGUGAAAAGAAAAGUACAUGCUAGUGGUAUAUUAAGCAUUCAACUCUGAAGCAGUUAAUAUGGAAUGUGCUUGUCUAGUUAAAGUUGGUGCAAGCCUUACAAAAGGUGCUAAACCAGAACACAAUUUUCAACUGUCUCUUGCAAAACUGAAAAGUGCUUUUUGGUGCAGAGACAUUUGAUGUUCUGCUUCCUUUGUCCAAUUCAAGAGGCAUGUGAUGGCCUGAUUCCACAGUUCUCCUGUUCUCAGGAAAAACAACCAGCUAAUGAAAUUCACAUGUGCCCACAAUAAUAGGCUACAAUAUGGCCCAAAAGUUUACAUCACUACAAAAUGUCUUAAUCAACUUAAUUGCCACAUGACAUGAAAUGAUCAACCUUUAGUUGGCAAGAUUCUAUGUUUAUAGAAAUCUACUCAAGUUGGAAAAGAUCAAAUUUUAAUAUGUCCAAUGAGACUAAGACCAUAUAAUCAAUCAGAAAAAUGUCAAAAAGUAUGUCUUUGUUUCAUGAAAAUAUGCAGAGCUUAUGUUUAUGAAGUACUGUAAGCCUCUCUGUGUUGUUAGGAUAGACAAUAUCCCAUGAUCUAUCAAAUUAUAUAAAACAGCAGCACAUGCUCCUCCUGUGCAAAUACACUGCUUGCUUUGUUGGCGUGGAUAGGGAUCCCCCCCCCUUUUAUGUAUCAUUAUGACUAGUGCAGCCUUUUCAGCCUUUCUCAGUUAAAUGAAUGAAAAUACAAUUGUUUUGAUUGCCAACAAUUCAGCGAUUCAACCAAAAACUUACAAAACAAGAUCUGAGUAUAAACUUUCCAGAUUUAUUGUUUUAUUCUCCUUUGCUUCAUUUAGCCUAUGAAAAAAACUUUAAAAGUUGUUUCUCUUAUCCUGUGAAGUUGAUCCUAGGACACACCCUAAAAAUUCAGCCUUCUUUGCCCCUCCUUGUUCUUUUCCUUUGCUUUGCUCUCUGAACAAGUGGCACAGCAAGUACUGUAGUCAUACAGGAUGACUCAUCCUGACACACCAACAGUUUGUUGUAGUGCACACAAGCAGACACACCUAUCCUCUGCUCACCAGGAAACACACCCUUUCCCACAUAGCAGUAUUAACGUACUUGAGAUAUUAAGUUUUCAAUGCUGAGACCAACGUUAUGUGCAUACACAGUUUGCAUUAUCUAAAGGCAUGGAUCACUGGGAGUGACGGAUCUCUCUGAAUUGCCAUUACACUAGAGUGCUCAUUCUUCCAUUUGCAACGGCCUGAGUGAAUCUGCUCCACCCCAUGCUUUUGAAAAAACUUGAAUGUUUUGUUCUUUGACAUUUAUUUAUUUAUUUAUUUUUAAUAAAAACAAUGAAACUAACAAAGAAAUAUUCAUACAGUGUCAGCUAUUGCAAAACCAUCUACUUCUCACAUGCCUUACAUGCGGAAUACAACCUUUAUUUUCAAUCUGUGGAAACAAAGCCUUUCAAGGUUUUUAUGUAUGAUAAGAAAUCUUCCAGGAGCGUUUCUUCAUUUUGUUUUUCUUCACCUAUAGUGACCUUCCACGCCCUGCUGUUCUCUGUAAGGACAGGCUGUAUAACUACUCCUCUGUUUACUGAAUUCAUCUGCUGUUUGCUUAUUUCUCUGUACUGAAUAUGGGUGUGGCAU